GAUGAACGCUGACAGAAUGCUUAACACAUGCAGGUCGAUGGGGAAGUGGUGCUUGCACCAUGGUAACCAUGGCGGACGGGUGAGUAACGCGUAAGGAACUUACCUGCGGGACCGGGAUAACAGCAGGAAACUGCUGACAAGACCGGAUAAGGUCAUUAAGCUGCAUAGCUUAGUGAUGAAAGGAGACGCCUGCGGAGAGCCUUGCGUCCUAUUAGCUAGUUGGAGGGGUAACGGCCCACCAAGGCGAAGAUAGGUAGCCGGCCUGAGAGGGUGGACGGCCACAAGGGGACUGAGAUACGGCCCUUACUCCUACGGGAGGCAGCAGUGGGGAAUAUUGGACAAUGGGGGCAACCCUGAUCCAGCAAUUCUGUGUGCACGAAGACGGUUUUCGGAGUGUAAAGUGCUUUCAGCAGGGAAGAAGGAAGUGACGGUACCUGCAGAAGAAGCGACGGCUAAAUACGUG
rnacentral:rRNA from 1 species